rnacentral:sRNA from 1 species
UGUAUCKGAAGCCUGACGAGGAUGAGAACCUCCGGGGGCAAGAGGUUCGACCCGAGCGAAGCGAGAGAACGUUGCGUCAGCAACGGCCCGCAGGGUGAGCCACGCAGUGGCGAGUCAUCCUCUAUCACCGACCA